GACGAACGCUGGCGGCGUGCUUAACACAUGCAAGUCGAACGGAAAGGCCCUGCUCUUGUGGGGUGCUCGAGUGGCGAACGGGUGAGUAACACGUGAGUAACCUGCCCUUGACUUUGGGAUAACUUCAGGGAACUGGGGCUAAUACCGGAUAGGAGCUCCUGCUGCAUGGUGGGGGUUGGAAAGUUUCGGCGGUUGGGGAUGGACUCGCGGCUUAUCAGCUUGUUGGUGGGGUAGUGGCUUACCAAGGCUUUGACGGGUAGCCGGCCUGAGAGGGUGACCGGCCACAUUGGGACUGCGAUACGGCCCAGACUCCUACGGGAGGCAGCAGUGGGGAAUAUUGCACAAUGGGCGGAAGCCUGAUGCAGCAACGCCGCGUGCGGGAUGACGGCCUUCGGGUUGUAAACCGCUUUCGCCUGUGACGAAGCGUGAGUGACGGUAAUGGGUAAAGAAGCACCGGCUAACUACGUG
rnacentral:rRNA from 1 species